AAUUGCGUUACAUAUAUACAACGUGCGCACAUAAUAAAGUAGAGGAUGCUAAACAUUAUGACAUGAUUUUGUGCACUAAGUGAUUUGGAGGGAAGCAAAAGGUGGUCCAUGUCCAGCUGAUAGCGAGGAGAUCCUUCUGGGGAACAUGGCGAUUGAAAAAUGGUUGCUUGAGGAGUGGACUAACAGGCCUAUGAAAUGGUGUCGAAAUACACUAGGAAACUUCCGCAGGAUAGCAUCAAUUUAAGAAAAGUGUUUACACGCCUCGAGCACAUUCAUUCGGUUUUGUUUUUUUCCCACAUUCUUUCGUCGAUUCGCCGGUAGAAGCAGAUCUUCGACGAGUGAGAUUGUUUAACAUGCAACGUAAAAUGUUCCCGUCCUCCCAAACUGAUAGUCAUGUGUCAAAGUUCAUCGGUUUGGUAGAGAAUAGAGAGAAUUACACAAUACAUAGUAUGUGAUGAUUCAUUUGAAUGGAUUGUCGGUGUCGGGCAAUCGUGAGCGUAAAACUUUUCUUAGGGAGGCGUAACUUUUGGAUCUAUAAAGAAAAAUUAUUUGUUUUCA